rnacentral:rRNA from 1 species
CUCCUGGGAAGUCCUCGUGUUGCAUUCUA